rnacentral:rRNA from 1 species
GGAGGAUCCAAGCGUUAUCCGGAAUCAUUGGGUUUAAAGGGUCCGUAGGCGGUUUUAUAAGUCAGUGGUGAAAUCCGGUAGCUCAACUAUCGAACGGCCAUUGAUACUGUAGAACUUGAAUUAUUGUGAAGUAACUAGAAUAUGUAGUGUAGCGGUGAAAUGCUUAGAUAUUACAUGGAAUACCAAUUGCGAAGGCAGGUUACUAACAAUCGAUUGACGCUGAUGGACGAAAGCGUGGGGAGCGAACAGGAUUAGAUACCCUGGUAGUCCACGCCGUAAACGAUGGAUACUAGCUGUUCGGCAGCAAUGCUGAGUGGCUAAGMGAAAGUGAUAAGUAUCCCACCUGGGGAGUACGAACGCAA